ensembl:lncRNA
CACCUUUAAUAUAAUUGUUAAAUAUAUCAAUGUAUUUUAUACAUGAAUACACUCCUUAGAGAUCUAGAGAUUCUCUCAUAUAGAAAAACAAAAGGAAAACCAACCACAAAUUCAAGUGGCUAAAAUUUAGCCAAACACUCUUUGGCUUACAAAAAAGAUCUUCCACUUAACUGCAGCCCAACAAAAUUAAAGAAAUGGAACAUGUGCUACAAUAACAUACAUUUGUUUUUCCAAGGGAAAUACAAUAUAACUACAUCAAGAAUGACACAAAUAAUGAUCCUGUACUAAUUGUUCAAUGUACUGGUUCACAACCAUACGCCAUAUGUUUUUACACUUGCAUAUGGCUAAAUGCAUCAAAUUCUGGUGUAAACAAUGGUAUCACAACGAAGAAUAACUAAUAGCCAUAUAUAUCGGUAUCUAAUUGUAUUCUACUUAGAUAAUUUGCUCAGAGGCUGUAGUAAUAUCCAUUUUCCUUAACAAUAAAUUUGUAUCACAAAUAUAUAUGAAGAAACUCAUUUUAAAUGGAUUUCUACCUCAUUAAGUUCUUCUUAAUGAGUCUGGGGAUAGAGCUUUAGAAUAAAUGAACAGAAGGUAUUUUAAAUAAAAUCAGCUAAGUUUAAAUAAAAAUAGCUCACACUUAACAAUACCCUACAGCUAAUAGAAAUGAGCUAGUUUAUGCACUAGCCACCUAGUGUGAUUUCAUCAUUCUUAUGAAGGUUUGCUUUUGAAAGAGCAACCUCACAGGACGCUAAUGCAAAAGAGCAUAUUUUAAUACAAUCUAUGUGUAACAAUGGCUAUUAAUGAGAGCAUAUUGCCCCUUGCUGUGCAACGGUUAACUGCACUAAGCUUGUUUGAUGACUAAGGCCAAGUAAUAAAAUCUAAUUUCUUACCACGCUGAUCUGUAUUACUUCAUUUUUUUUUUUUUUUUAAUGUGGUUUUGAAAAUGAUAUCUUAGGUCUUUCUUUCACACAAGCUCUGAGAAGCCAAGUUCUGCACCAGCCCAUGCUACCUUUGCUGGAGCUGAUCCCAAUGUGUUUGUCAGAACUCACGAGAGGGAGAAAGGCAAAAGUCAUCUACUCAGUGAGUCAGGACACGGAAUCAGAAACCUGAGUGAUCACAGAAGCAGCAGCUGCAAUACUUCAACAUUUCUUCAGAUCUCAAAUCUGAUCCCUGGCUAUACAAAUGCCCUUUGUGUAACUGCGUUACCUGUUUUUUCCCCUCUGCUUCCAGAUAGUGUCAUUGAGAAAAAUCCCUCUGAUGUGAAACGUCAGUAAGCAGAAUCCAAGCACCACCAGUCUGUAAAGCAGCAAUAAGCAGUCCUUCCACUGCUCCUUUUUGGCCCUUGGUUUUCACACAGCACAUAACACUGCCCCACUAGCAAAUAAGCUAAGCAGCAUUUUUCUCACCCGAACAAGCCAACCAAGCCACCAGCUUCCAGGUAGCAAUAGGGCUUUUUAAGUACGAGCUGUUAAAACGCUUCCUGUCCUAAAGCUACAUCCAUCGC